rnacentral:rRNA from 1 species
UGAGGAAUAUUGCGCAAUGGGCGAAAGCCUGACGCAGCGACGCCGCGUGGAGGAUGAAGGUUUUCGGAUUGUAAACUCCUGUUAAGUGGGAAGAAACGACAAAAUAUAAUACAUUUUGUAACUGACGGUACCAUUAAAGAAAGCACCGGCUAACUUCGUGCCAGCAGCCGCGGUAAUACGAGGGGUGCAAGCGUUAUUCGGAAUUAUUGGGCGUAAAGGGUGCGUAGGCGGCGUAUUAAGUCAACUGUUAAAACCUCCAGCCUAACUGGAGAUCAGCAGUAGAUACUGGUAUGCUAGAGGAUGGAAGAGAGAAGUGGAAUUCUUGGAGUAGCGGUGGAAUGCGUAGAUCUCAAGAGGAACACCAAUGGCGAAGGCAGCUUCUUGGUCCAUAUCUGACGCUGAUGCACGAAAGCGUGGGGAGCGAACAGGAUUAGAUACCCUGGUAGUCCACGCCGUAAACGAUGAUCACUAGAUGUUAAUUCUGCUUGCAGAAUUAGUGUCGUAGCUAACGCGAUAAGUGAUCCGCCUGGGGACUACGGUCGCAAGAUUAAAAGCUUAAAU